rnacentral:rRNA from 1 species
UCGAGAAUCUUCCGCAAUGGGCGAAAGCCUGACGGAGCGACACCGCGUGCAGGACGAAGGCCCUCGGGUUGUAAACUGCUGUCGAGCUCUAGGAAUGCCGCGCUGUUAACAGCGGCGCGGUUGACCAAGGCAGAAGGAAGUGGCGGCUAACUCUGUGCCAGCAGCCGCGGUAAGACAGAGGCCACGAACGUUGUUCGGAAUCACUGGGCAUAAAGCGCACGUAGGCGGCUAGGUCCGUCCGAUGUGAAAGCCCCCGGCUCAACCGGGGAAAUGCAUCGGAUACAGCCUGGCUCGAGGACGGUUGGGGUGAGUGGAACUCCUGCUGGAGCGGUGAAAUGCGUAGAUAUCAGGAGGAACACCGGUGGCGAAAGCGGCUCACUGGACCGUUUCUGACGCUGAGGUGCGAAAGCUAGGGGAGCAAACGGGAUUAGAUACCCCGGUAGUCCCUGAGCGGGCUGGCAAGGCGCAU